UCCAAGUAUGUAUAUAUGUAUGUAUAUAUCUUUAUAUAUAUAUAUACACACACACACAUAUAUGUAUAUAUACACAUACACACACAUAUACACACGCAUAUAUAAAGAU
rnacentral:miRNA from 14 species